rnacentral:rRNA from 1 species
UUUGUAAACUUGAACUCUAAUUGAUGUUAGUUUGGGGUUUUAUUUUUGUCUUGUUUUUUAGGGUGAAAUCAGAAAUUUUUGUUAUUAAUACCCUAAUCUUUAAGAUUUGAUGAAUGAAUCAGAUUAGUACCUGAUUAAACAAAAAUUAAAAGAGCAGGAGUAAAGUUGUGUUUAAACUGUAAGAGUAUUGGCAGGUUCUUAAAUUAUCUUUGGAGGUUGAGUAGUAAUUGAGAGCCCUCAUUAACAACUUUUACUGUGGGCGCAUGUAUGAUCGUUUAUUUUAUUCUUAAGGAUUGUAAUUUUAGAUGAGCUUGUUUCUGUUAAAAUAGAUAGAUAUUUGGUUUAUGUAGAAGAUUUAAUUUGACCUACAAUAUAUUAUUUUGUGGAUACUUUGCUAGUAGAAAGUUGAAAAUGUAAAAGACAGUAAGUUCUUUUUUAUGUAGAUCUGAAGUUUAUUUAAGAACGGUACAAAUCAUCCAUCAAUUGCCUAUA